AAGAUUCACCCUUCCCAGGUGAAUAUACAAUAUAUAACUGACUAUAUGUCUAGUCAUAUAGUCAGUUAUAUAUUGUAUAUUCACCUGGGAACGGUGAAUCU